rnacentral:rRNA from 1 species
UGGGGAAUCUUGGACAAUGGGGGCAACCCUGAUCCAGCCAUGCCGCGUGAGUGAUGAAGGCCUUAGGGUCGUAAAGCUCUUUCGCCUGUGAAGAUAAUGACGGUAGCAGGUAAAGAAACCCCGGCUAACUCCGUGCCAGCAGCCGCGGUAAUACGGAGGGGGUUAGCGUUGUUCGGAAUUACUGGGCGUAAAGCGCACGUAGGCGGACCAGAAAGUUGGGGGUGAAAUCCCGGGGGCUCAACCCCGGAACUGCCUCCAAAACUAUUGGUCUAGAGUUCGAGAGAGGUGAGUGGAAUUCCAAGUGUAGAGGUGAAAUUCGUAGAUAUUAGGUGGAACACCAGUGGCGAAGGCGCCUAACUGGUCCGGUACUGACGCUGAGGAACGAAAGCGUGGGGAGCAAACAGGAUUAGAUACCCUGGUAGUCCACGCCGUAAAACGAUGAGUGCUAGUCGUCGGCAGGCAUGCCUGUCGGUGACGCAGCUAACGCAUUAAGCACUCCGCCUGGGGAGUACGGCCGCAGAUUAAAACUCAAAUGAAUUGAC